rnacentral:rRNA from 1 species
GACGGAGGAGGCAAGCGUUAUCCGGAAUUAUUGGGCGUAAAGCGUCCGCAGGCGGUUUUUUAAGUCUGUUGUCAAAGCCCACAGCUCAACUGUGGAUCGGCAAUGGAAACUGGACGGCUAGAGUACGGUAGGGGUUGAGGGAAUUCCCAGUGUAGCGGUGAAAUGCGUAGAUAUUGGGAAGAACACCAGUGGCGAAGGCGCUCUACUGGGCCGCAACUGACGCUGAGGGACGAAAGCUAGGGA